CCAGACACGGGAGCUCCAGCAGCAGAACACUGAAAGUCACCCAGGAUUACAGAUGACACAACUCCUCACUGCUCCGGAUUGCACCCCAGCGUGUGAAAAUGGCCUAGGCUCCUUGGAUCUUGGGCUCCAUCAUUCCUGAAGUCACCUGGCCUGAUUCUUAUUUCUCACAUUCUGCUUUUCCAGAGGAAAUAGAAUAUGUUACUCCUGAAUUAUAGCGGCUAAUUUCCCAGCAUUCUCCACACCCAGACAUUUUUAUAUUCCCUCCCGUUACACCUGACUCACUAGAUUCCCUAAUGCCGCAGUAUGCGCUUUCCUGACAUCUAGUACUGCUGAGAUCCUGCAUUCAGUGAUCUCCCUGCCCUUCCUGUUCCUUACUGCACAGAACCCCAUCAGCCUAUGCUGACUGUUCCCAGACUCCCCAGGACUCUCUUAUUGUCUCUGGACCUGUCUGUCAGCAAGAAGCGGUUCCUGGGAGACUUGCUCGCUGUCUGGAGUUUUCACUUUCUGAGACAUUCAUUUACCUUCUGUGUGUUUUAGGAGCCUCUUUGAUAAUGAGUGUCUGCGACAUUACCCAGGGUACACUCUGGACUGUCGAAUAGCUGUGUCCCAUCAGUUCUCCAACCUGGGAUACCUUUCACACUGCUUUGCUGUGAGAACAGCCACUCCUGGCCAGUUAACACACAUUGUCCAGCAUGUAACUCGCUCCCAGCUACACAGUACAGAAUGCUACUACUCAGCCACUCGUGAAUUACACCACAGGGGAAUACCGGCACAUUCUCUAGUCCCAGAUUUCCCCCCACAAAUGUGUGUCUUGCACUCUCCAGCACAUUACUAAACGGAACAAGGUCAUAGAAAGUCUGUCACUUCAUCAAUGGAAAAUAACAUGCACCAGGCUUGUUAUCCCAAGUGGCGUUUCUCAUACACUUUAAUCCAAACAAUAAAGUUGUUUUACCUAUUAACUACAGAAGGAAAAGAUUUUAAGUGACUACAGUAAGGAGGCAUAAAAGUCAGAAUUGCUUACAAAAGAAAUAAAAGAUGAAACGCAAA